GCUAAUACCGCAUAUUCUGUGAGCAGGAAAGCAGGGGAUCGCAAGACCUUGCGCUGAUUGAGCGGCCGAUAUCAGAUUAGCUAGUUGGUGAGGUAAAGGCUCACCAAGGCGACGAUCUGUAGCGGGUCUGAGAGGAUGAUCCGCCACACUGGAACUGAGACACGGUCCAGACUCCUACGGGAGGCAGCAGUGGGGAAUUUUGGACAAUGGGGGCAACCCUGAUCCAGCCAUGCCGCGUGAGUGAAGAAGGCCUUCGGGUUGUAAAGCUCUUUCGGCCGGGAAGAAAUCGUAUGGGUUAAUACCCUGUGCGGAUGACGGUACCGGCAUAAGAAGCACCGGCUAACUACGUGCCAGCAGCCGCGGUAAUACGUAGGGUGCGAGCGUUAAUCGGAAUUACUGGGCGUAAAGCGUGCGCAGGCGGUUUUGUAAGACAGGCGUGAAAUCCCCGGGCUCAACCUGGGAACUGCGCUUGUGACUGCAAGGCUAGAGUACGGCAGAGGGGGGUGGAAUUCCACGUGUAGCAGUGAAAUGCGUAGAGAUGUGGAGGAACACCAAUGGCGAAGGCAGCCCCCUGGGUCGAUACUGACGCUCAUGCACGAAAGCGUGGGUAGCAAACAGGAUUAGAUACCCUGGUAGUCCACGCCCUAAACGAUGUCAACUAGGUGUUGGGUGGGUAAAACCAUUUAGUACCGGAGCUAACGCGUGAAGUUGACCGCCUGGGGAGUACGGCCGCAAGGUUAAAACUCAAAGGAAUUGACGGGGACCCGCACAAGCGGUGGAUGAUGUGGAUUAAUUCGAUGCAACGCGAAAAACCUUACCUACCCUUGACAUGUCCAGGAGCCUGAAGAGAUUUGGGUGUGCCCGAAGGGGAACUGGAACACAGGUGCUGCAUGGCUGUCGUCAGCUCGUGUCGUGAGAUGUUGGGUUAAGUCCCGCAACGAGCGCAACCCUUGUCGUUAAUUGCCAUCAUUUAGUUGGGCACUUUAACGAGACUGCCGGUGACAAACCGGAGGAAGGUGGGGAUGACGUCAAGUCCUCAUGGCCCUUAUGGGUAGGGCUUCACACGUCAUACAAUGGUCGGUACAAAGGGUCGCCAACCCGCGAGGGGGAGCCAAUCCCAGAAAGCCGAUCGUAGUCCGGAUCGUAGGCUGCAACUCGCCUGCGUGAAGUCGGAAUCGCUAGUAAUCGUGGAUCAGCAUGUCACGGUGAAUACGUUCCCGGGUCUUGUACACACCGCCCGUCACACCAUGGGAGCGGGUUCCGCCAGAAGUAGGUGGCCUAACCGCAAGGGGGGCGCUUACCACGGCGGGGUUCGUGACUGGGGUGAAGUCGUAACAAGGUA
rnacentral:rRNA from 1 species